rnacentral:lncRNA from 1 species
CGACGGUAGCUCCGACGUCGUCUACGGCGGUGCGAUUCAGGUCGUCUGGUUCGGCUCGGCUUCCAAAGCUUGGGUCGGUUCAGGUUCCGUUUCAGAGACGGUGGUGGUUACCUUUGGUGGUUCGUGUUUCGGCUCGGUCUUGAUUCGGGUCAGUUUCGGUCUCGCCGGAACCGGAGUCUUGACGGAACUCCUUCUUUCCAUAUUCGUUAAUAACCUGUCAAAACAAUGGAGGGUAAACGCUUACGUCCGUUCUCUUGGGCUUUCUCCAAUCCUUACUCGUGCGUUAAUUCAAGAAAUCCCCAUACGCAACCACUGUGA